rnacentral:tRNA from 1 species
UGGGGCGUCGUCAAGCGGCCUAAGACAAAUGAUUUUGAUUCAUUUAUUCGUGGGUUCGAAUCCCACCGCCCCUGCCAA